AAUAGAUACCCGGUAGUCCACGCCGUAAACGAUGAGUGCUAAGUGUUAGGGGGUUUCCGCCCCUUAGUGCUGCAGCUAACGCAUUAAGCACUCCGCCUGGGGAGUACGGUCGCAAGACUGAAACUCAAAGGAAUUGACGGGGGCCCGCACAAGCGGUGGAGCAUGUGGUUUAAUUCGAAGCAACGCGAAGAACCUUACCAGGUCUUGACAUCCCGCUGACCGCUAUGGAGACAUAGCCUUCCCUUCGGGGGACAGCGGUGACAGGUGGUGCAUGGUUGUCGUCAGCUCGUGUCGUGAGAUGUUGGGUUAAGUCCCGCAACGAGCGCAACCCUUGAGAUUAGUUGCCAUCAUUCAGUUGGGCACUCUAAUCUGACUGCCGGUGAUAAACCGGAGGAAGGUGGGGAUGACGUCAAAUCAUCAUGCCCCUUAUGACCUGGGCUACACACGUGCUACAAUGGACGGUACAAACGGUUGCCAACCCGCGAGGGGGAGCCAAUCCGAUAAAACCGUUCUCAGUUCGGAUUGUAGG
rnacentral:rRNA from 1 species